AUGAUAUCCACCUUGCAAAAGCGUCUCCAAUAUGCGCUUCUAUCUUUGGUGGGAUCUUCGAGUUCCUUUAGGAUAGGGUCGCGUAUUGGGCAUGACACUGACAUAGAAGCCAGGAUAGCCUACUUUGUAGAGAAAGCAAAAGCAGAUGCUGAUUUCUUCUACAGGAUAAGAUUGGACGAUGAGGACCGUGUCAGAAACAUGUAUUCGGUGGAUGGUGCUGCAAGAAGGGCCUACAAACAUUUCCGUGAUUGCAUAUCAUUCGACACGACAUAUCUCACUAAUUUGUACAAGAUGCCCUGCGCUCCAUUCGUAGGAAUAAAUAACCACAAUCAGUCAUUGCAGUUUGGUUGCGGACUCGUUCGGAACAAAGAUACGGAUGGUUACACUUGGCUGUUCAAAACCUUCUUGGAGUGCAUGGAUGGACUUGCUCCGAUGAACAUAAUAAUAUACCAGGAUUUUAGCAUGCGUGCAGGCAUAGGGGAGGUCUUUUCGUUGGCAGUGCACAGGCACUGCAGGUGGCAUAUUAAUAAAAAGGCUGAGGAGACGCUAGGACCAUUUUUUGCUGACCGUCCAGAGCUGCACAAGGCAUUCGAGUUGUGCAUGGACCACAACCUGACGGUGGAGGAGUUUGAACGGAGUUGGACGACUAUGAUUGAAACAUACCAAGUCCAAGACAACGAGACACUUACUGGCCUGUGGGAGAAGCGAAUGUCUUGGGUGCCGGUCUACUUCAUGCAGUGCUUCUUCCCAUUUCUGCAGACUACGCAACACAGCAAGGUGUUCAAUGCUGUUUUGAAGCGGUACGUGAGCCCUAGCAAAUCAUUCCUGCAGUUUGCCAAGCAAUACACAACUUUGCAACAGAAAAUACUGGGAUCUGAGCUACGACAAGAAGCGAACACCGCACUCAAGCAGCCUAAAUUUCUAACAUAUUUGCCAAUGGAGAGGCAGAUGAGCAAGAUAUAUACCAACAAGAUUUUUAACAAGUAA
rnacentral:rRNA from 1 species